GAUGAACGCUGGCGGCGUGCCUAAUACAUGCAAGUCGAGCGAACAGACGAGGAGCUUGCUCCUCUGACGUUAGCGGCGGGCGGGUGAGUAACACGUGGAUAACCUACCUAUAAGACUGGGAUAACUUCGGGAAACCGGAGCUAAUACCGGAUAAUAUAUUGAACCGCAUGGUUCAAUAGUGAAAGACGGUUUUGCUGUCACUUAUAGAUGGAUCCGCGCCGCAUUAGCUAGUUGGUAAGGUAACGGCUUGCCAAGGCGACGAUGCGUAGCCGACCUGAGAGGGUGAUCGGCCACACUGGAACUGAGACACGGUCCAGACUCCUACGGGAGGCAGCAGUAGGGAAUCUUCCGCAAUGGGCGAAAGCCUGACGGAGCAACGCCGCGUGAGUGAUGAAGGUCUUCGGAUCGUAAAACUCUGUUAUUAGGGAAGAACAAAUGUGUAAGUAACUAUGCACGUCUUGACGGUACCUAAUCAGAAAGCCACGGCUAACUACGUG
rnacentral:rRNA from 1 species